rnacentral:rRNA from 1 species
AACGAACGCUGGCGGCAUGCCUAACACAUGCAAGUCGAACGAGACCUUCCGGUCUAGUGGCGCACGGGUGCGUAACGCGGGGGAACCUGCCCUUAGGUUCGGAAUAACUCCCCGAAAGGGGUCCUAAUACCGGAUAAUGUCUUCCGACCAAAGAUUUAUCGCCUUUGGAUGGGCCCGCGUUGGAUUAGCUAGUUGGUAGGGUAAAAGCCUACCAAGGCGACGAUCCAUAGCUGGUCGGAGAGGAUGAUCAGCCACACUGGGACUGAGACACGGCUCAGAAUCCUACGGGAGGCAGCAGUGGGGAAUAUUGGACAAUGGGCGAAAGCGUGAUCCAGCAAUGCCGCGUGAGUGAUGAAGGCCUUAGGGUUGUAAAGCUGUUUUACCCGGGAUGAUAAUGACAGUACCGGGAGAAUAAGCUCCGGCUAACUCCGUG